UGAUGAUCUUGUCUCUGCCUCUAAAGUAGUUGGGAUUGCUGGUAUAAGCACCAUAUCCAUGUCCCUAAAAGAUGUCUUGAAUGCAGAUUAAUACCCUAAGGGUUCCCUAACUAAGAAGUAACUGAUUUUGCUCAGAAAGCCAAUGCUGGAACUUGAGUGAGUGAGGGCAUCUGUCCAAGUACUCAAGACAUGCCCACAUGUAAGGGAUAUUUGACUGCCAGUAUCUUUCUGCCAUGGCUUUGUUUUCUAGUAUUCUGUGAUAGAUUAGUGACAUAGAGCACAGCAGGUUCAAAGCAAAGAAAGAAUGAGUACAAGGGCAUCUUAGAUGAUACUCUUAGAAUUAUUUAUGUGAUCCUGUUAAUUGCUUUUAACCAGAACCCUGUGACCCUGUCAGGGAAUGCCUACAGACGCCCAUACUCCAAGACUUUUCACUGGAAAUGUGGAAUUGUCACCAACUUACUUUGGCUUUUCAACCUUAAAUGCCACUUUAGAAAUCAUCUGUCUGAGGCACCCCAGUGGGUGAGACAAUGAAUCACCGUGCACACAGUCCCAGUUCUCAUCCCUUUCCUGGAAUCCAGGGGGCACUCUGUAUACUCAACUUUACUCAUCAUCCCCCUUCCUUAAACAUGGAAAAGUUCACAUUCUGUUAAAGAAAUAAAUCUGAGAGGAAAAUUGAAAGAAUUUUUCAUGACUUCCUCGAGCUCCUUUAUUUUGUUAAUGAUAUUUUCUACCCAAGAAGGUGUUGUUCUCUUGGGUCUUAAGGAAUGCAUGCUGUCUAAUACCACGAAGGAGGAAGAAGACACCAGUGUUAAAUUGGCCCACUUGAGAAACUUCGUCAUCAACAUAGACAAGUCUCGUUAGGCUAACUCAGUGUUUUUUCAUCACAAUCCUGUUCUUUUGGACCCACAGUCAAACCUCUUUUCUCAGACCUUGAAAUCCUCCAGGGCCUCUCUGCAGGAGAGAAGUCAGAGGUUCUCUGAGAAAGAUGCAAGAGAAACAAACGCCGUGACUCUAAAGUGAAGACUCUGUUUCCAUGCCCUGCCCCAGUGUAGACCGGAGGCAUGACAGACUGAGUGACAGAACAGAUCGCAGGAAUGCAUUCCAUUAUCUUUGGAAUCACAGACCCGUAAAACAUCUGGCUUCCGGGUGCAUCACCAACAUGUGGGCCAGCAACUCAAAUCUGCUUCGUUCUGACGGAAAAGACAGUAUGCUUUUAUGUUUGAAUUGUAUUGUCAAGGUGAUGUGCAGAGGGGUUACAGUUACAAACAUAAGUACCCAAAUAAGAAUAGGAGAGUGAGUAGUGACCCCUUGAGACUGUUGAAGUUAUUCAUUGUCCUCAGAAUCAUGGAUACAUCAAGCAGUGCAAGAAGGUGAACCAACAUUCCACAUCUCUUCACCAAAUUGUCCCCACCCAGCACUAUCUUCUCAGAAUAUCCUCUGUGCCUCUAUUUCUUUACAACGGAAUAAAAGUGGAUGCGUUAUAUUUUCAUAGAUAUUAGAGGAUGCUAUAUACAUGCAAAUCAAACAAAGCAGUUAAUCCAAGUAAGUUCAGCUGAGGUAAACGCUACACACUAUUUGGCUUAACGAAAGGCAACUAAGAUUAAAGUAAGCCUUCAACUCGUUUAAAUCUCUCCCCUAAGAAAAUACUGUGCUGAUUGCAGUAUUCUCAGGGUAUUUGAUAAAACAUUGCUCCAUCCAUAGAAAAGCAGACAUUUGUGAAAGUAAUUGCCAGAGAUUUUAUAGUAAUUCAUAAUCACUAUCUGGAACCUUAAUGUAAACUUACAUGCACAUUUUUGGUGAGCUGUGUAAUCUUAUAUUCCAAAAUGGGGGGAAAAAAGCCGCCUUUUCAAUAUCUGAGAAUGGGUCCA